GUGUGGUAGCAGUCCUUUCUCUUCCCUCCUUUUGUGCUUCAAUUUGCCUUAAGAAUCCUUCCUGCUGCCUGAGGAAGUUGGUACAAAGACUCACGCAGACACAGUACGACAUUAGCCAUGGUGCUGCGAAUGGCUUCCUCCAGAGCCUGGAUAAACAGAACUAGAUGUGUAUUGUCCAUGGCAAAUGAGAGGCGAAUGACAAUAAAGCUGCAUUAAGAAGAAAAGAAGAGAGAAGAAAAUAAGUAGUCCCUGAGAGCUUUUAACUUCUAGAGCCAUUUAGAUUAUUUAGCUGGAUGGAACAAUAAUGCAAGAUACAAGAUGAGCCUCUCUAACAACAGACUCAGAUGUAAAUCUGGAUAUUUGACACAAAUACUCAUCUACUUCAAAUGAUACAAGUCCGUUCCGUGCAUUCCGCACAAUAACAUCAUCAAGCACAACCCACUCCUCUUCUUUGCUUCUGUAACCCAAUACUUUCAAGGAUUCACCGAGAUUCUCUCCAUGUUUUCUCACCGAGGCACUCAUUGCCCUGGAC